AUUUGCUUGGAUACAUUAGCAUGGAAUAAUAGAAUAAGACAAUGGUCUCAUUUUGUUGGUAUUGGGGACCAAAGUAAUGAUUAAUAGGGAUAGUUGGGGGCAUUAGUAUUUGGAAGCUAGAGGUGAAAUUCGUGGAUUUUCCAAAGACUCACUAUUGCGAAAGCACUUGCCAAGGAUGUUUUCAUUGAUCAAGAACGAAAGUAUAGGGAUCGAAAACGAUCAGAUACCGUUGUAGUCUAUACCAUAAACUAUGCCGACUUGGGAUCAGUUAAAUCGACUUUAAUUGGCACCAUAUGAGAAAUCAAAGUUUUUGGGGUCUGGGGGGAGUAUGGUCGCAAGAGUGAAACUUGAAGGAGUUGACGGAAGGGCACCACCAGUAGUGGGACUUGCGACUCAAUUUGACUCAACACGGGAAAACUCACCAGGCCCAGACAUAGCUAGGAUUGACAGAUUGAGAGCUCUUUCAUGAUUUUAUGGGUGGUGGUGCAUGGCCGUUCUUGGUUCGUGGAAUGAUCUGUCUGCUUAAUUGCGAUAACGAACGAGACCUUUGCCUUCUUUACUAUAUGUGCAGAUGCGAAUUUGCAUGUUUUCAAAGAGGGACUGAUUGGAAAAACCGAUUGGAAGUUUGAGGCAAUAACAGGUCUGUGAUGCCCUUAGAUGUUCUGGGCCGUACGCGUGUCACACUGUCAGAGACAGCGAGUGUAGCAUUGCCGAAAGGUAUAGCGAAUCUUCUAAACUCUGACGUGCUGGGGAUAAACCAUUGCAAUUAUUGGUUUUCAACGAGGAAUUACUAGUAAGUGCAUGUCAUCAACAUGCGCUGAUUACGUCCCUGCCCUUUGUACACACCGCCCGUCGGUGGAUUCGAUUGAAUGUUUUAGUGAGGUUAAUUGAGACACACGGGGGCGAAAGCCUCCGUGUGUCGAAGCUGCCCAAACUUGAAUGUUUAGAGAAACCAAAAGUCGUAACAAGGUUUCCGUA
rnacentral:rRNA from 1 species